AUUGAACGCUGGCGGCAUGCUUUACACAUGCAAGUCGAACGGCAGCGCGGGCUUCGGCCUGGCGGCGAGUGGCGAACGGGUGAGUAAUACAUCGGAACGUGCCCAGUAGUGGGGGAUAGCUCGGCGAAAGCCGGAUUAAUACCGCAUACGACCUGAGGGUGAAAGCGGGGGAUCUUCGGACCUCGCGCUAUUGGAGCGGCCGAUGGCAGAUUAGCUAGUUGGUGGGGUAAAGGCCUACCAAGGCGACGAUCUGUAGCUGGUCUGAGAGGACGACCAGCCACACUGGGACUGAGACACGGCCCAGACUCCUACGGGAGGCAGCAGUGGGGAAUUUUGGACAAUGGGCGAAAGCCUGAUCCAGCAAUGCCGCGUGUGUGAUGAAGGCCUUCGGGUUGUAAAGCACUUUUGGUGGGAACGAAAAGGACUGUGCCAAUACCACGGUUCGAUGACGGUACCCGCAGAAUAAGCACCGGCUAACUACGU
rnacentral:rRNA from 1 species